GACGAACGCUGGCGGCGUGCUUAACACAUGCAAGUCGAACGAGUGGCGAACGGGUGAGUAACACGUGGGUGACCUGCCUUGCACUUCGGGAUAAGCCUGGGAAACUGGGUCUAAUACCGGAUAGUGCAAGAUGAGUGCGCGGCCUACCGGCUAGUUGGUGGGGUGAUGGCUUCCAAGGCGCGACGGGUAGCCGGCCUGAGAGGGUGUACGGCCGCAUUGGGACUGAGUUACAGCCCAGACUCCAGCGGGGGGCAGCGGUGGAUAGUAUUACGCCAGGGGCGGUGGCCUGAUGCAGCGACGCCGGGUGGUGGAGGAAGGCCUUCGGGUUGUAAUCUCCUUUCGCCAGGGACGCGGUACCUGUAUAAGAAGCACCGGCUAACUACGUGCCAGCAGCCGCGGUAAUAC
rnacentral:rRNA from 1 species